UAUGAAGUUGAUAAAAUCUGUUUUUUCAUUCAAACAUUUCAGUAUGAAGCGAUGUCUAGUUUUAUUCGUUUAUCCGUCAGAAAUUUAACCGGAUGCAUGUUUAGGAAAAAUUCAUGUCUGAGGGAAUGUCAAAAAAUACGUUGCGUUUGGAAAAUGUUACAAAUCAAAUGUUUGUAUAUGUUUCAAAUAAAGACUAUUUCUAAAUA